rnacentral:rRNA from 1 species
GACAGAGGGUGCAAACGUUGUUCGGAAUUACUGGGCGUAAAGCGAGUGUAGGCGGUUUCCUAAGUCAGGUGUGAAAGCCCCGGGCUCAACCCGGGAAGUGCACUUGAAACUGGGAGGCUAGAGUAUCGGAGAGGUUGGUGGAAUUCUCGGUGUAGAGGUGAAAUUCGUAGAUAUCGAGAGGAACACCAGUGGCGAAGGCGGCUCACUGGCCCGGUACUGACGCUGAGGUGCGAAAGCGUGGGGAGCAAACAGG